UACGUAGGGGGCAAGCGAUGUCCGGAAUCAUUGGGCGUAAAGAGCGUGUAGGCGGUUCGGUAGGUCCGUUGUGAAAACUCGAGGCUCAACCUCGAGACGCCGAUGGAAACCAUCGAACUAGAGUCCGGAAGAGGAGAGUGGAAUUCCUGGUGUAGCGGUGAAAUGCGCAGAUAUCAGGAAGAACACCCGUGGCUAAGGCGGCUCUCUAGUACGGUACUGACGCUGAGACGCGAAAGCGUGGGGAGCGAACAGG
rnacentral:rRNA from 1 species